GUCUGCGGACAUACCACCCUGAACGCGCCCCAUCUCGUCUGAUCUCGGAAGCUAAGCAGGGUCGGGCAUGGUUAGUACUUGGAUGGGAGACCGCUUGGGAAUACCAGGUGCUGUAGGCU
rnacentral:rRNA from 1 species